GCAGAAAAAAACAAUUGAUUUUUGAAAUUCUCAGGCAAAUGGAUGGAACUAGAAGAAACCAUCCUGAGUGAGGUAAUGUGCGACUUGACCCCCGGGGAUGGAGUCUGUGAGAUGUCCAUAUGUGUGAAGAAUGGAGUUACAGUGAUUGCAAAGUGAUGAAAAUUUGGAGUUCAAAGUAUUUCAGUGUUGAAGAAAACUGCUUCCAGGGUGCCUUGGUUGUGGGCUUAUUACCAGCCACUGAGCAGAGACCCUGAACUAUUGGACCAGUUAAAGCAACUUGCUUGUGGUUAUGGCCCCAAUUUUCAUAUCUGAGAAGACUGUCUCACUUGGCCUGUACACAUGGAAAUAAUGAAUGCUCAAAGAAACAUCAUCUUACAUAAACUUUGGGUCUGAUUUUUGUGUGUUUCAUACUUUGUAUACAAUAACUAAGAAAAUUUACCUCACUAGAGGUUCUAAUAUUAUAUUGUUAGUUUAGUUAUUUGAAAUCGGAAAUGUGUUAGUGAGUUUUUAAUUUUAGAGUUAAGUUGAAGAGAUUAAGAUGAAUUUACAAAAGGUAUAAGUAAUGUUUGAGAGAACUUAUGGCUUAGAGGAAUUAUAAUUUUCAUAAAUUCAUAUUGUCCUGAACAUUUGGAUAACUUCUGCUAGCUAGCAGCAUUAAAUAAAAAGAAUAAAGUUGGUCUAGAUAUUUAGCUGGAGCUUCUCUAAGUUUGUAAGUGACAUCAAAUAUGACUAAAAGGCUACAUUAGCUGAAUAUGCUCGUACACACCUGUGACCUUAACAAUUAAGAGACUGAGUAAGGGGAUCAAGGUUCAAGCCAGCAGCACACAGUGAGACCAAGUCUCAAAAAACAAAAACAAGUCCCCUUAAGGUAGAUGUUAAAAUUUGCCUCACUUAGAAAUAAGGUAAGAUUCAUAAAUUGGAUUAAUCGCUCGAGUUGUUGAAUUUAUGACUGUUUAUUCUUUAAAUGUUAAACAGUAAUUUUAUUUAUUAUUGUAUCUGUGUAUAGUGUUUGUGUGUGUGUAUGUGAAUGGGCGUGCACAUGCAUGUCAUACACGUGUGCAGAGAUCAGUGGACAACUUUAUGGAGUUCAUUCUUUCCUUCCACCUUUAUGUGAUGGAAGUGCUUGUACCCACUGAGCUAUCUCACUUGUUCCUAUAUACUUAAUUUUAAAUAGUAAAAUAGGAGCUACCUAGGUCAAAAAUUGCUUUCAAUAAACUUUUGAAAGGAAUCAGUAGUGUCUGAAAAAAUAGUCUAAUAUCACAAAAGUGUGUUUGUACAUGUUACAUAAUAAAAUUUCUAAUGGUCAUUAUAAAGAUGAAAAAGAAAUAGAGGAUAGUAUAUGUGAAUGUUUAAUUUUACUUGUGAAUUCUUUUAGAAUGAUAAAUGUAAAAAAAUAAAACACAUUUUCAAAACAAAA